AGCGAACGCUGGCGGCAGGCCUAACACAUGCAAGUCGAACGGACCCUUCGGGGUUAGUGGCGGACGGGUGAGUAACACGUGGGAACGUGCCUUUAGGUUCGGAAUAGCUCCUGGAAACGGGUGGUAAUGCCGAAUGUGCCCUUCGGGGGAAAGAUUUAUCGCCUUUAGAGCGGCCCGCGUCUGAUUAGCUAGUUGGUGAGGUAAUGGCUCACCAAGGCGACGAUCAGUAGCUGGUCUGAGAGGAUGACCAGCCACAUUGGGACUGAGACACGGCCCAAACUCCUACGGGAGGCAGCAGUGGGGAAUCUUGCGCAAUGGGCGAAAGCCUGACGCAGCCAUGCCGCGUGGAUGAUGAAGGUCUUAGGAUUGUAAAAUCCUUUCACCGGUGAAGAUAAUGGCUGUAGCCGGAGAAGAAGCCCCGGCUAACUUCGUGCCAGCCGCCGCGGUAACAC
rnacentral:rRNA from 1 species